rnacentral:piRNA from 1 species
UACAGUUUGUCAGCUGUGGCUUGUGCUGUU